GACGAACGCUGGCGGCGUGCCUAACACAUGCAAGUGGAGCGACGAACCAGGGCUUGCCCUGGGGCCAAGCCGCGAACGGGUGAGUAACACGUGGGUAACCUGCCCCGAUGACUGGGACAACCCGAGGAAACUCGGGCUAAUACCGGAUGUGGUGUACACACAUCAGUGUGUUCACUAAAGGAAGCUUCGGCCUCCGCAUCGGGAUGGGCCCGCGGCCCAUUAGCUAGUUGGUGAGGUAAUGGCCCACCAAGGCGACGAUGGGUAGCUGGUCUGAGAGGACGAUCAGCCACACUGGGACUGAGACACGGCCCAGACUCCUACGGGAGGCAGCAGUGGGGAAUCUUGCGCAAUGGGGGAAACCCUGACGCAGCAUCGCCGCGUGGAGGAUGAAGGUCUUUGGAUUGUAAACUCCUUUCGAUCGGGACGAUUAUGACGGUACCGGAAGAAGAAGCACCGGCUAACUCUGUGUCAGCCGCGCGGUAAU
rnacentral:rRNA from 1 species